rnacentral:rRNA from 1 species
AUGGCGUAUACAGAGGGCUGCCAACCAGCGAUGGUGAGCGAAUCCCACAAAGUACGUCGUAGUCCGGAUCGGAGUCUGCAACUCGACUCCGUGAAGUCGGAAUCGCUAGUAAUCGUGAAUCAGAAUGUCACGGUGAAUACGUUCCCGGGCCUUGUACACACCGCCCGUCACACCAUGGGAGUGGGCUGCACCAGAAGUAGAUAGCUUAACCUUCGGGAGGGCGUUUACCACGGUGUGGUUCAUGACUGGGGUGAAGUCGUAACAAGGUAGCCCUAGGGGAACCUGGGGCUGGAUCACCUCCUUACCUAA